GAGAACCGAGAGGCGCCUCCUAGGAGGCGGGUGGGCAAACGGAGACCUACGCCUCGGGGUCUCCCGGUGCCCCGGCUGGGUCCCGCCCGCCGGCGGAGGGGCGCGUCCUCACUCACCGGUUCCGGUGGCGCCGCUCUCCCGGGGCGCCCAGCACAGCGCGAGCAGCAGCCAGAGCGCCCAGAGCGCGGACGUGCCCAUGGUGCCCGCCUGGAUGGUGCCGCCGCCGCCGCCGCCGCCGCCGUUCGCUCCGCACGACAAGUUACCAGUCCUUCCGAAAGGAGGAAGAAGGUGGGGGCGGGGAGGGGAAAGGGGGAGAAGGAGGGGAAGGAGUUGGCGGGGGAAGGGAGCGGGGAAGAAGAGGGCACCCCCUCCCCUACAACUUGCACAGUCUCCUCCCCACCCACCCAGCCACCUCCCCGGGCUGCAGCAGCAGUGCAAGCCGAGCCUGCGGGCAGAAAAUAAUGCAGGCGCUGCAGAGGAGGGGAGGCAAGGGGAGAGGAGGGAAGGGAGAGGGGGUGGGGAGCCGAGAGCAGAAGAGAGCACAGAACGGAGAGGAGCCGGUAGCGGAGCACCCGCACCGGCGGCGGCCGGAGAGCGGGGUGAGCAGCGGGGAGGGGGCCGGAGGGGGCGUGGUCAACGGGAGGCGCGGCGGGCGGGCGGGAGCGCGGCGGCUUCGGCCCUCCUUUCCCUCGACGCGCUCCUCUUGCACGCGCCGGGCAGCCGGGUGCCCGCGCGGGGAGCGUGCGAGUGUGAGCGUGCGUGAGUGACCGCGGUCGUGGUCGUGGCUGCCGCCGCCGCCACCCGGACCGCUCUAGGGGCCCGGCUGCUCCGCGCGUUCGCCUGGGGCUCACGGGGGCCCGGGGCGACCGCUGGUUGGCUCGCGCGCCGCCCUCGCCUCCAAUCCCGGGUGCCUGUCCUAAUUUCCUGAUCCAGGGAACCUGCCGCCGCAGCGGCUGUGCGCUCCCUACAGUCAUUACUGUACCCUCCCGGCAGCCUCCGGCAGAACACGCAGCAGCAGCAGCAGUUAGCGCUGAUGCAACUAUCGUUGCUGUUGCCACCGCCUCCCCACUGACGGGGCGUGCACCUGGGGGGUACUUGCAGUUUCCAGGGGCAACAAGCAUCUCUCUACCACCCUCUCCUGCGCCCCUGAGAGAGGCUGGCUCCAAGCUUGAUAUAGAAGACUAUCAUAUGAACCAGAAAGGGUAACUGAAACCAAAGAAAUGACUCCAGUAUCAAGCUAAAGACAUGCCUUAAAGGAUGAGGAGGAGCAGAAAUCUUACCAGCAAGGCAAGAAAGAAGCCGUACGUGAACAGCCUCUGCUUUAGGCCCAGAAGGAAAAGAAGCUUACAGGAGACAAUCAGUCUUACACUCUUCCAUGGUCACAAACAAGAGGUCCCUGGAUCUACAGUAUCUAGGCCCACAUGCAAUAUGACUUUGCAACUCAUCCCAUCAGAGGAUGGAAACUAUUUCUUCACCCCCUUGAACCUGGGCUGGCUUUGUAAUUUGUUUUGGCCAAUAGAAUGUGGUGGAAGUGAUGGUGUUACCAGAAAGAGUUCCCAAUCCAGACUCGUGCGAGAAAGAAUUUGAGAAAUGAAAGAACCAGAGCAUUAUAGCAGAACGAAUCCUGGAAUGGGAAUGGAAUGCCUGGAUUUGUGGCACAGUUGGGAAGCGUCCUGGCCAUGCCAUGUUAAAGCUGUCUCCAAGGCAGUGAUUCUUACCCUUGGCUACACAUUGGAGUCAUUUGGGAAGCUAGAAAAAAAAAAUGCCCAGGACCUGGGCAAGACGGCUGAAUAAGAACAGCUCUGGUCUGCAGUUCCUAGCAAGAUCAACGCAGAAGGGAAGCUGGCAGCCUGGGCUCUUGGAGAUUGUAUCUGGUGCCGGAGAGGACUGGCUCCCACACUCAGUGAGGGAGGAAUUUUACUGACCCAGCAUCCAGAUGAACUUUGGUGAGGAGAGGAGGACAUAAGAGCCUGGUGGUUGAUGAUGGAAGAGAUGAAACUGUGAAGAGACCGAAGAAGCUAAUCUAUCAAUAGUUAAGAUUCCAUUUCUAAAAGAUCUUACUUUGAGUCUACCUAUGCCUGGGAUGUCAAGAGGUGCUGAGGAUUGAUUGGUGAAGACAGAGAGGGUCUUGGUUCUAACUGAGCUCACAUUCUAAAAGAGAAAAUAGAAAAUAAACACGAAAAACGAAUGGGAUCACUUCAGAAAUUGAAAAGGUCUAUAAGAAAAACAAAACAGGGUGUGUGAUAGAGGGUUGGGGAGGCUGUGACCAUGGAAGGCCUAAGAAAGUGAUAUUUGAAAUGAAACUUGAGUUGCAGAAGGGAGCCAGCUGUGCAAGGCUGAGGACCAAAUAUUUCAGGAGGGAACGGCCAAGGCAGAAAUGAGCAUGGCCUGCUGGAGACCGAGAAUGAACUGUUAGUGGGUUCCCACUGCACAGGGCCUGGGGAGGCUACCCAUGCUCAUCUCAUGGUAAUGUGCCAGCAACUCAGCCUACUGGCAUCAUGAUGAAUCUCCGGGCUGCUAACUGGGCUUCAUGUUGCAUAGGUGAACUGUCCCGCCACCUGCUUGAGGCUGGCAGAGCCCAGGGGGUGAG
rnacentral:lncRNA from 1 species